AUGCCUCAGACACCCUCUACUCCGCGCCGCCUUCAAUCUCUAACUCUCUGAACGCAUGUUGUUCUUCCUCCAGAAGUGUCCAAACUACUUCCAAUUUUCCAAAGAAUCGGCUUCUUUCUUUCUGAGAUUCCUUAAAGCAGAAAAAGGUCAAUACCAAUAACCAAAAAAAAAAAAAGAUUGGAGAAGCUUCUCUGGAUCGUAAAUCACUAUCAUCAUUCUGAACUGGAAAUGAUAUACUAUAUUGGUAAAACACGUAUCCCUACUUUACAUUAUUGAUCUUAUAAAUGUUGCAAAUUUUUUGUCUUGGAUUUUGUUUGAAACUGAUUAGUUUUAGUUGAAUUGGGUAUGUUCUGUCAUUCUCAAAUACUUGGUUGUAAUAAUGGGUUUCUGAUUCUUAAGUAUCUUUUCAGUUUAUUUUGGUAAAGAAAAUUAGAAAAAAAAAGGAUUCUAUUGGAGAACAAAAUUUCCCUACUGCUUUUCCAUUGGGGUUUGUCAAUCAAGUAAAUCAAGAUGGUAUGUUUCUGUUGUUUAGAUUCUCGAUUUCCAUUUAAUGUUUAAGUGACCUUAGUGGGAACAAUUACAAUAGUUGAUUUGAGUUCUAUACAUGUAUUCAUACAUGUUAACAAAACAUGAGAAAGUAUUCUGAAUUCAAGUUUCAUUAUAGUGGCAAACAAAAUACUUAGAUCAGGUAAUUCUUCUAAUUCUUGCUCUGUAUGCUUUUGAAUCUGGGUAUUGUUUGUGUUUUCUAUCAGUAAGUAAUUCACUCCCUGCUUCUUUAAUUUCUUCAUUUGGCAUAAUUUCUUCAUUUGAUGAAUUUGAAUAUGAAGGUUUUUUUUGUUUGGUGGCCGCUUCUAUUAUAAAUUUAGUUCAACACAGAUUCUACAUUUGACUAUAUUCUAACAAAAUAUAUACAUUUCACAGGAAGAGAUUGUCUAUUGCAGCGCUUCAAUCCGCAAAUUUCCAACACAUAAUGGUUGGUGGUAUAAAGGAUGGGCAAGCUGUUUCCGACAACUAAAAGUAAAGGAAAAUAGCGGUGAACUCAUUUGUGUACACCAUGGCAUACAGACACCUCAUUCCUGUUACAGAGUCCACAUGACCAUUGAGGAUGCUGAUAAUCAAGCAACAGUUAUGCUGAUCGGAAAACAAGCAGAACAAUUCUUUGGAAGCAGUGCAGCUGCAGCUGCAACUACAGCAACUAUUCUUUUUGUACAAGUGCAAUCAACCAAUUAGUUGGAGAGUAUGUUGUACAGCUCCAACUGGAGCAACGACUUUUUUUCAACAGACUCCAGUAACAACUUUUGCUAACCAACUCUAACAUCUUCCGCAGCUGCAACCCAAACAAUCACCUUUUCAACAAUUGGAGCACUUGCUAUAUUGAACAACCUGAAGCAGCAGCUUUUGUUUGAUUAACUUAUAACAUUUUUGUAUAGCUAGCAAGAUUGUACCACUUCCAAUUCAAUGCACUUGAACUAAAAUGUAAAGUAUGUAAAAACUGUUUCACAAUUUCAGUAAUAUAUAAUAAUUUCCUUUUUGUA